rnacentral:tRNA from 1 species
GGGGAGAUAGCUCAGUGGUAGUGUGCUUGCCUACCAUGCAAGGAGCCCUGGGUUCUAUCCCCAGAACCACCA